ACGACAUGAAUCCAAUUUUGAUCAGGUGAACACCACAUUGCUGGCGGUUUUGAUGUGUUGGGUACCCGUUCAACUCAGUAAUUAUAACAGACCGAAUAAUUAUAAAUGAAUACAGAAUUAUAAAUCCUAUGGGAAAUGGGAUUAGGGAGUACAAAGCAAUUCUAAAUAUUUAAUAAUAAUAAAAUUACAAAAUAUAAGAAUAAAUUAGCUAACCCGACAGACCCGUAAACGGAUCUGUGUUGGAGACGUUGAUCCGGCUCAGUCCUCGUUUUUUCCCAGUUGUCCACGCCCAAGACCCUUUAAGCUGCAGCCGCGACUGCCACCGGAACUCGACCCAAACAACGAUCAAAAAACCCGAAUAUGUCUGAAUCCUCACUAUCUCAGCACUCAGACCCAAAACCACCCUUAACCAAGAUGAAACUGAGAGAUGAUGAACACACAAUAUAAACCCAGAACACUCACUCACACACACAGCUCCAAUCGAUCACACAGAAUAGUUUUCACAAAGAAACGAGAUUGGGGAAGAGUGUUUUUAACAGAUGGGUCUAUCAAAUCUCUCGAACUUACCUUUCUCACAAAGAGAGGAUGGAAAUAUAUAUCCAACCAGUAACGGGUCCUCACCGGAAAAACCGAGCAAAGAUAUCGGUCUUU
rnacentral:lncRNA from 1 species